rnacentral:lncRNA from 1 species
CUGCUCCGUAUCCAACUAGAAUUAUCUGUAAAUGUGAGGUCUCCUAGUGUUCCAACACCUUCUUUGAGUGUUACUUGCAAGUCCCCAGUUAAAAGUGGUCUCUUUCCUUCACGCUCUUUAACCACAUGACUGUCAAAUUCUUCCUGAGUCCAGCCCUCUUCAUCUUCAUUAUUGAAAUCACCUUCAAGGACAACAACAUCCAGUUUUACAGAGGAUUCAGGUCCAGAAGUUACAACACUGCCGCUGUUGGCAUCCACCAGGACAAUAUGGAUUGCAGCACCCUGCUCCCCCUCUACUUUUCCUCCUGUAAAAAGGGGAAGAG